CCUACGGGAGGCAGCAGUGGGGGAUAUUGCACAAUGGGGGGAACCCUGAUGCAGCGACGCCGCGUGAGUGAAGGAGUGCUUCGGCAUGUAAAGCUCUAUCGGCAGGGAAGAAGCAAGACGGUACCUGACUAAGAAGCCCCGGCUAACUACGUGCCAGCAGCCGCGGUAAUACGUAGGGGGCGAGCGUUAUCCGGAUUCACUGGGUUUAAAGGGUGCGUGGCGGUGAGUUAAGUCAGAGGGAAAAUUGAGGGGCCAAACCCCUUCCCGCACUUGAAACUGGCGCGCUUGAGUGGAAGAGAGGUAUGCGGAAUGCGUGGUGUAGCGGUGAAAUGCAUAGAUAUUACGAAGAACCCCGAUGGCGAAGGCAGCAUGCCGGAUUCCGACUGACGCUGAAGCACGAAAGCGUGGGGAUCGAACAGGAUUAGAUACCCGGGUAGUC
rnacentral:rRNA from 1 species